CACCAGCAGGAGAAUAGCUCAGCCACUAAACACCACGUUUGUUUCCCUCUAUCGAAAAUUUUGUAAUUCCGUAUGUUACUGUUGCAGUCGCACCGCAGCACACCCCUCUGCCGUUUCAGCUCAACCCCAUCAUCGAGAGACCCAAGGUUCGUCUCUGUGUUGCUGUCUAGCCAUCAGCAAUAGCCACCUUUAGUUUUAAAUAGGUUCCUAGAUGAAGGGAUUUUCAGGAGAUGUAUAGGGAGUCGAAGGAAGUGAAAGUUAGGUCUUGGUUUAGUUUCUGUCAGGAGUCGAUGGGUCUUCCAUCUAGUUUGGACACUGGGUGACAGCUACGUUUUUGUUAUCGAGAAGUCUAACGGGAUCGAUUGGGACCCUGUACCCAUGGACGAGAAGCUCGGAAUAUAGAUAGCCUAAAAGCUUUUCUUUUUGAAACAAAUCCUUAUCAUGUUAGACUUUUAUGUGUGUAAACACUCUUGUAAAAAUAUGUGUGUUUAAUGUAAAUAUAAUCCUAUAUUUGUUAUCCCA